UCAUAUCCAUAACACCUGUGCACUUGUCGGAUGGCUUAGUGAAGACCGCAAGGUUGAAUCUAUCCAUCUACUUUACAUAACAAUUCUGUAACAAAUGUAGUCUUAUUAUAACAUAAUAAAACUUUCAACAACGGAUCUCUUGGCUCUCGCAUCGAUGAAGAACGCAGCGAAAUGCGAUAAGUAAUGUGAAUUGCAGAAUUCAGUGAAUCAUCGAAUCUUUGAACGCACCUUGCGCUCCUUGGUAUUCCGAGGAGCAUGCCUGUUUGAGUGUCAUGAAAACCCUCAACCCUAGAUUGGUUAAAACCUUUCUUUGGUUUGGAUUUGGACGUUUGCCGAUGAUAAGUCGGCUCGUCUUAAAAGUAAUAGCUGGAUCUGUCUCGCGACAUGGUUUGACUUGGCGUAAUAAGUAUUUCGCUAAGGACAUCUUCGGAUGGCCGCGUUGCAGGACUAAAGACCGCUUUCUAAUCCAUUGAUCUUCGGAUUAAUACUCUUGACAUCUGGCCUCAAAUCAGGUAGGACUACCCGCUGAACUUAAGCAUAUCAAUAAGCGGAGG
rnacentral:rRNA from 1 species